UGACAUCGUCCUCCUCUAGGUAGCGAAAUUCUCCAAUUAUGUAUUAGUGUAUUUUUUGGUUCAAAUGUUAACAUUUUCUUCCUUGUAGAUGGAUGCUAAAUUACCAAUUGAUAUUUUUGAAAACGUCAUGCAACUAGCAAUAGAAGGUUGCAAAGCAGUGGCAAAUUACAUUCGAGAAGUAAGAGCUUUCAACUUGAUCUGCUUUCUUCGUUGUUUCUAUCUGUGUUUUUCUAGCUGCAAUACUCCAUUUUUGUCUUUCUUCUUCCCAAACGUUUCUAAAAUUUGUUGUUUUGUUGACAGAUAUUGCUCGAAAAUACUAAGAAUUUAGAGUUUCGCAGUGGUGUAUAGCUUACUACGAGAGCAUGACAUCUUUGAGUUCUUUGCUACAUUUCUGAUUAGAAACAUGCCUAAUUUUGUAUUGAUAUUGCACUAAUGAACAAUAUUUUAAUUUGGCAAUCUACUUUCCCCCAAAUGAUUUUCCUAUCAUUAUUAUUUUUAGCGUAGGGCGACGGAACCAGCUGGAAUGACCUGAAAUAAUUCAAGUGAUUGAUGUUUAAUUUGUCGAGAACAAGAUGACCUGAAGGACUGUGUGGUUGAAAAUAAGAGAGAAAAAUGUAAUGUAAUGAAAAUUAAUGGAGGUCAAACG
rnacentral:lncRNA from 1 species